CUCGCGAUCAAUUAUGUCUGACAAUGAUAACGUGCCGACUCCCACUCCAUCUCCACCAUUAGAUCCUGGAGAGGGAACGUCUUCACAAUCUAACCUCUUCACUGAUUAUGAGCUCUUGACUUCAUCUGAAUAUUUGCACGAGAUUUCUCCUUCAACGACUAAAUUGGUUGAAGUUCUUGGGAUUGUUCAUCUCGUGAAGGCACCAAAGCUCGUCAAAUGCAAGAAUGGUACUGAAAAUAUUGUGUGCAAUUUCUACAUCGCCAAUCUCGAUGGCGAUACAGCCCAAUGUGUUAUGUGGGGUCCAACCAUUGAAAAGUUCAUUGACAAACUCUUGAUUCAUCAUGUCAUUCACAUUGAUGGAGCAUUCCCCAAACAUGUUCAGGAAGUAUUCAACUCAGGAAGUGUUCCUUAUGAAUUGAUUAUUCAGUCGAAUACAGGUGUUACAGAUUUGGGUAAACUGCAGUUCCCUCAAGUAUCCGAAGCCAAUGAACUGGUGCUCGUUCCUUUGUCUUAAGUCACUAAGCAUAAGAAAAUUAUUGCUGUGAGAGGUUUCAUCAAAACUCCUUGGGCAAUUAUCCAUAAGCAAACUGAUAGUACUGGUAACACGUGUUAUGGAUCUAUUGCUGCUGACAAGUACUUUCUGGAUGUGAAAAUCUCAGAUUUCGCUAAUGAUUACCGUUGUCAAUUCAGAAAAGGGCAACAUGUACAAUGUCUUGGAACACUCAUCAGGGCUGAUAAUAUAUGCACUUACAAUUUCCAUUCUAUCAUUUUUUACAGUACUAUUUUUUUAACCAAUCAUAUCUCCUUCUUUUUCAGGUAAUUCUUUCUUCUUUUGUGUCCAAGCUCCAGGCUGCAUCACGUUAGUUGACGGAGUAACUGCCACUUUGAAGGAGCUGUUGUUGUAUAAACCUGUGUCAUCUCUCACUCAAGUUGAGGCUGAUAAUCCUGGCACAUCCAAAAAGAUGAGGAUGGUCGAAUUAUUCAACAGGAAACUCAACAAAAAAGAUUGAAUUAUUCUGAUGAUCUUCCCUGUUCUCCAGCUGAUAGAAUUCAGCCACAGAAUUCAUUGAAUCUCUCCAUUCAUCAUUUUUUUCUCAAUUUUCCGAAUUAUCUAUAAAUCCAUCAAUUUUCCUCAACUUGAUGUAAUGAGUGAGAACAUUGCUUCAAAUCAUUUCUCUAGAAUUCAUAAUGAUGAGUAAUCAAUUCUCCAAUUGCAAACAAAAAACCUACAUUUGUUAAGCGUAGAAGAUUGCCAAAUGGAGUUAUUAAAUUAUGUAGUGAACGACGUAUCAUCGACAGAGAAAUGCCGGCCAAUAUUGAUGAAUCAACCCCAUCCACAUCAAAUGAAACAAAUUCAUUGAGGGAUGAAAAUCAGUCAUCAAGGAGUGGAAUAAAAAGAAUGAGAAUGAAAACUUCCACUUUUCCUUUCUAUAAGAAUUCAUAGGCAACAAUUUUAUAAUUUUUUCUUCUUUGAUUUUAUUCUGAAUUGUGAAACCAAAUAAAAACACCGAGGGAAAAACUUACAAAAUUUCCGCUCAAGAAUUUCAUAUAAAAAAGAAAAUCUAUUGACUUUUGUAUUAAAUCUCUUCUAUGGCGAAAAAAAAUCAAUAGACUUCUCUAAUAUAAUUCUCAUCCAACUCUGGAAGAAUUUUUAUAGAAUUCCGAUAGAAGUUCAAUAAAAAUUUUUAGAGGAAGUGCUCGGUUUGUCUAUAGAUGAUUUUUUUCCAUGCGUGUCUCUAUUUUCAAACUUUAAUAUCUCCGUUAAAUAGAAUUUUACAAACUCGACGAACUUCGAGGCGAUUGGGAGUUAGUUUAUCUUUUUUUUUUAUCUAGUACGCGGCGAGGUUAGAUCAAAAGGGCUGUCCUGGAGGGUGUUUAUAGAAACGACAAAAAACUCAUAGAAAUGUUUACAGAAAUUUUAUAGAAUAGUCUAGUUAAUUCGCUACGUUUUCCUAUUGAUGAAUUCAUUCAUAUGUGUAAA